GACGAACGCUGGCGGCGUGCUUAACACAUGCAAGUCGAACGAUGAACCGAGAGCUUGCUCUUGGGGAUUAGUGGCGAACGGGUGAGUAACACGUGGGUAACCUGCCCUGGACUCUGGGAUAACCCCGAGAAAUCGGAGCUAAUACCGGAUAGGACCCUGUACCGCAUGGUGUGGGGUGGAAAGUUUUUUCGGUCUGGGAUGGACUCGCGGCCUAUCAGCUUGUUGGUGAGGUAAUGGCUCACCAAGGCGUCGACGGGUAGCCGGCCUGAGAGGGUGACCGGCCACACUGGAACUGAGACACGGUCCAGACUCCUACGGGAGGCAGCAGUGGGGAAUUUUGCACAAUGGGCGAAAGCCUGGUGCAGCGACGCCGCGUGGAGGAUGAAGGCCUUCGGGUUGUAAACUCCUUUUGCAGGGGACAAUGAUGAUGGUACCCUGCGAAUAAGCCACGGCUAACUCUGUGCCAGCCGCCGCUGUAACAC
rnacentral:rRNA from 1 species